AGAAUUCUAUUGAUCAUAAUAAUUCGCACCAAUACCCACGCAAGGAAUGCGAUCAAUAAAGCUUUUUUGAUGAGCCCCAUACUUCUCUCUCUCUCUCGAGUUUGCAGCAAACUUUUUAACAAGAACGCUGGAAAUUUAUCUGAUUGAAGGUUUAUACAGAAUUAUUGCACAUCAGUACGUUCUAAUCCAGCAAAGUCGUUGAAAACCUCGAUCGAGUAUUAAACGGAUGAAUGGUUCCAAACG
rnacentral:lncRNA from 1 species